rnacentral:rRNA from 1 species
GAUGAACGCUAGCGGCAGGCUUAACACAUGCAAGUCGAGGGGUAUAGUUCUUCGGAACUAGAGACCGGCGCACGGGUGCGUAACGCGUAUGCAAUCUACCUUUCACAAAGGGAUAGCCCAGAGAAAUUUGGAUUAAUACCUUAUAGUAAUACGACUUGGCAUCAAGAUGUAUUUAAAGAUUUAUCGGUGAAAGAUGAGCAUGCGUCCCAUUAGCUUGUUGGUAAGGUAACGGCUUACCGAGGCAACGAUGGGUAGGGUCCUGAGAGGGAGAUCCCCCANACUGGUACUGAGACACGGACCAGACUCCUACGGGAGCAGCAGUGAGGAAUAUUGGACAAUGGGCGCAAGCCUGAUCCAGCCAUGCCGCGUGCAGGAUGACGGUCCUAUGGAUUGUAAACUGCUUUUANACAGGAAGAAACACGUACUUCGUGAAGUAGCUUGACGGUACUGUAAGAUAAGGAUCGGCUAACUCCGUGCCAGCAGCCGCGGUAA